rnacentral:rRNA from 1 species
UACGUAGGGUGCAAGCGUUGUCCGGAAUUAUUGGGCGUAAAGAGCUCGUAGGCGGUUUGUUGCGUCGGCUGUGAAAACCCGGGGCUCAACUCCGGGCCUGCAGCCGAUACGGGCAGACUAGAGUUCGGCAGGGGAGACUGGAAUUCCUGGUGUAGCGGUGAAAUGCGCAGAUAUCAGGAGGAACACCGGUGGCGAAGGCGGGUCUCUGGGCCGAUACUGACGCUGAGGAGCGAAGCGUGGGGAGCAAACAGG